rnacentral:rRNA from 1 species
AGGGUUUGAUUAUGGCUCAGGAUGAACGCUGGCGGCGCGCCUAACACAUGCAAGUCGAACGGCACCCCUCUCCGGAGGGAAGCGAGUGGCGAACGGCUGAGUAACACGUGGAGAACCUGCCCCCUCCCCCGGGAUAGCCGCCCGAAAGGACGGGUAAUACCGGAUACCCCGGGGUGCCGCAUGGCACCCCGGCUAAAGCCCCGACGGGAGGGGAUGGCUCCGCGGCCCAUCAGGUAGACGGCGGGGUGACGGCCCACCGUGCCGACAACGGGUAGCCGGGUUGAGAGACCGACCGGCCAGAUUGGGACUGAGACACGGCCCAG